rnacentral:rRNA from 1 species
GACGAACGCUGGCGGCGUGCUUAACACAUGCAAGUCGAACGGAAAGGCCCUGCUUUUGUGGGGUGCUCGAGUGGCGAACGGGUGAGUAACACGUGAGUAACCUGCCCUUGACUUUGGGAUAACUUCAGGAAACUGGGGCUAAUACCGGAUAGGAGCUCCUGCUGCAUGGUGGGGGUUGGAAAGUUUCGGCGGUUGGGGAUGGACUCGCGGCUUAUCAGCUUGUUGGUGGGGUAGUGGCUUACCAAGGCUUUGACGGGUAGCCGGCCUGAGAGGGUGAACGGCCACAUUGGGACUAAGAGACGGCCCAGACUCCUACGGGAGGCAGAAGUGGGGAAUAUUGCACAAUGGGCGGAAGCCUGAUGCAGCAACGCCGCGUGCGGGAUGACGGCCUUCGGGUUGUAAACCGCUUUCGCCUGUGACGAAGCGUGAGUGACGGUAAUGGGUAAAGAAGCACCGGCUAACUACGUG